AUAAAUGUCACUGUUCUGUACACUGAAUGUAUACAAAAAACGUGUGUGUGUGUGUGUGUGUGUGUGUGUGUGUGUGUGUGUUUCUGAGCCUUCAGAGUGAACAUCUCUGGUUCCCUAUAUUAUGUUUUAUUUCCUUUCAUUUAUAUCUAUCUAUAUCUAUAUCUAUAUCUAUAUCUAUAUCUAUAUCAUCUACAUCUAUAUCUAUAUCUAUUUAUAUCUAUCUAUCUAUCUAUCUAUCUACCUAGUAAUACCAUGGUGCACUAGCAAAGCCUCCAAAGAGGCUCCCAAUAUUCCCCACCUCUGGGUUCACACCCAGUGCUCUUGGAUCACUCGCUCUGGGGAGGCAGGCUGUAGUAUGAGAGGAGGCUCCACGCAGCCUCUGGACCAGCCCAUGUGACAAGGAACCGAGGGCUCCAGCUGGCAGCCAGCAAGCAACUGAGGCUGCCAGCAGACAUGUGAGUGAGCUUGGCAGUGGAUGCUCCCACAGUUGAGCCUUCAGAUGACUGUUGGUCAAGUGACAGCUCAGCUCUGCCGCUCCCAGGGUCCUAACCCUCCCAAACCGUGGGAGACGAUGACUGUUUGCUGUUGUAAGCUGCGCUGCUCAGUUUGGGGGGUAAUUGGUUACACAGUAGAUAAUUAAAACACAUGGCAUAUAAGUGAAAUCAACAAAACCAGGGUGGGUCAGUGAUUAGUAAGUUAGAUGCUUUGACGGGUUUUGACACUUCUGUUGCAUCUUAAUUGUUUUCCUCCGAAGUGUCCCCUUUGGGUAAACAGUGUUAAGAGUGGUUACCAACAGGACAUUAGAAAAAUUAACAAUUAGCUUUGGGAACUAAAGUGUAACCACAGCAUUAUUUUCCAUUUUAUUAAAUGCAUUAAAUAGUAUUGCAGUGUAUUUGUUUCUAUUAAAAAACAUGAUAUUGGACUCCGGGAGGAAAGCUAUUGCAAAUUACUCUGAAAACUCUCAUUUCUUUCAUAGCAACGUGUAAUAAUAUCAUAAUUGCUUAGUGGGAGUUCAGAGACGGACUGACUUUAACAUAUAUUUAAGCAUAAUAUUAUAGACAAACAAGUUCGCCUGCAGUAUUUGAAGAUAGUCAUUUUCUUGUAAACAUCCUCCUUUAUGUUACUAAGAUGGUCUGCAGUCUCUGUCACUGUUCUUGGCAGAAAGUCAAACUUAGCAGAGUAACUGUGUGGAUUCUAACAAUGUCUGAAUUAGUGAAGCCCCAAAUAAUGAAGAUUUAUUAUGUGUAAGGGAACUAGAAAAGUCUAAAAUCCCAAGUUAUGAGUCAAGGCAAUAGUUCCCAGCCGGCUGGUGACCCUUCCAGGAUGAUAUCCCCGGCAUUCUCCAUGCUUCACUAAGGUUGGAAUUCAGCCUUUGGUACUAAGUUGUCUCAAUCUUGGCCACAGUGGUAAUUUCAUUUUCCCACUUGUUUUCCCUCAACUAGAAGGACUAGGGGCAAUUGAUUUUUCCACGUAGAAAAAGAUAUUGGAUUCUUACUUCACAAUCUAAAAAAACAAAAAAUUUUUUUCCCACAUGAAUCAAGGGCUCAUAUGUAAAAAGCAAAACUUCAAGAAUUUUCAAAGCAAAUGUAAAAAUUAUCUUUAUGACCUUGGAGGAAUGUCUUUACCAAAAACACAAAAGUUCACAUCAUAAAGAAAAAGAUGAGAAAAUUUAACUGCAUCAUGAACUAUUCUCUCUCUCUCUCUCUCUCUCUCUCUCUGUUUUUAGUCUUAAAUAUUACAUUACUAAUAAGCAUUUUUAUGGAGAGCAAUGUGAUUUAAUAAGCUUCAUUAUUUUUGCAAUUUGGGUAUAAAAUUUAGUAAUACAAAAUAAGGAAUGGGGCUCUAAGUUUAAUGUGUGUGUGUGUGUGUGUGUGUGUGUGUGUGUGUGUGUGUGAUAUUCUUGGUUGUAAUGGCUAUCCUAGCCUUAUUUUCCUCAUUCAUAUUUUUCUCAAUUAUUUUCUGGAUUUUCUAAAUUAUUAUUUUCUUUUGGUGCUGUAGUAUCUUUGUAAGUUACAUCAAAACUAAUGAAGUAGGGAACAAGUAAAUAAGUUGAACAAACCAUUAGAUUCAAUUUAUGCUCCCAACAAAUAACCAUUUAUAACUCAAGCCUUCAAAAAAUUAUAACAAUUUCAUAAUGAACAAUGGAUAAUUUAUGGAGACUUUGUGGCAGCAAUGAAUACAAUUAUGGGUAAAUUGUCUCCAACAAAUAACUUCUGGAAUAUCCACACUCCUUAUAAUCUCAGAAACAGAAUACCAAACCUAUUAGUAAGACAUAAUAUUUUCUAGUCAUUUGAGGAUUCAGUUUGUUAGAUUAUGUCGUUAACUUUAUCAGGUUGUGUCUUAUAUUGCAUUCGCUAAAUGGAAGACUAGCUACUCAAACUUUACCUGAGGUUCCUGUAAGCCUUCUCAGAAUACAAAGAAGGAUGAGGGACCAGCUUUUGUUCUUCACAAUUCCAUUUUGUUAUAUGAUGCAGAAGUUACAAAGCUUUCAUCAACAAUUACUGACUACUUUCAUUGUCAUCCCCAUGUGGGAGUUCUGAAAGACUGUUUGAAAUUCGUUCGAGUAACAGAAGAGAGUGCACAGUGCAGCCUUCUGGAUUAAACAAAGAAUAAGAGAAAAAAUCUUCACUUCUAUCAAAGGUGCAAGCAAUGGAGGGAGCAUCAACACAAACAAAACAGGCAUCAGCCAGAAAGCCUAUAGGAAACCAUGGGAGGAAGAUCAAAAUCAGAUUCUUAGAAGUGAGCUGUUCCAGGAGCAGCUUGCGCCCUGAGCAGAGAGGAAGAGUGGCCACCCCAAGCCCCUUCCCGGGAUCUACACUCAGCAGCUCAGCCUCAAGCCACCGUGGCUUUGAACUGUGACGAUUAACUACAGGUGGAUGAAGAGCUCAUUUGCACUCUUGAUCCAAGAGAGAAGGAUCAAUAAUUCUCCAAAGAGUUUACAAGUGCCUUUGUUAGAAGACUGCCCUAUUAUUCUGCACCUUCCAGGGCCUGGGCCUGGAGUUUUCCUUCUGAAAAAUCAAAAUACAGUCUGCAACUCCCACCACCGCAGGACUGAGAUGGACCAAAGCGUAUCCAUUACUUUCCAUAAGUCUUCCCAAAGAAGUGAAUGGACACCAAUUAGCAAGAAAUCUUGAAAUCCAUAGAUUGUCCUACUUUGGGGAAUGGUUUAAGUGUUUAUUUCAUGUGAUUUUGUUGGUAUGUGUAAGAGAAAGCACUGUAUUUAUUUUCAGAUUUUCUCCUCUUUUUUUUUAAAGAGGGCAUAAUACCUUUUUCAUUUCCCCACCACCUGUUUAA